rnacentral:rRNA from 1 species
AGUGAACGCUGGCGGUAUGCCUAACACAUGCAAGUCGAACGGCCGCACAGUAAGCUCUUGCUCUUACGGUUUGCGACUGGCGGACGGGUGAGGCAUACAUCGCCUUCUUCUUUUUCUUGGGUGAUUACGUAGGUCAACUUCCGCUACUACCUCAUACUUCCUACCGGUUAAUUCAGUGGAUCUUCGCACCUUUCCCGUUUCUUUUAGCCGAGGUCGGAUUAGCUAGUUGGCUUGUUAAAGGCCCACCAAGGCGACGAUCCGUAGCUUGUCUGAGAGGAUGAUCAGCCACACUGGAACUGAGACACGGUCCAGACUCCUACGGGAGGCAGCAGUGGGGAAUAUUGGACAAUGGGCGAAAGCAUGAUGGAGCAAGACCGCGUGGGUGAAGAAGGACUUCGGGUUGUAAAGCACUGUUGUUGGGAAAGAAAAGAAGAAGGAGAAAAAGAGGAUGUAAUGACGGUACCCAAAGAAAAAGCAACGGCUAACUACGUG